rnacentral:sRNA from 1 species
UUUGAUUUCUUCACUUCCACUA